rnacentral:rRNA from 1 species
UACGAAGGGGGCUAGCGUUGUUCGGAAUUACUGGGCGUAAAGCGCGCGCAGGCGGCUUCUCAAGUCAGGGGUGAAAGCCCAGAGCUCAACUCUGGAAUUGCCUUUGAAACUGUGGAGCUUGAGUACGGUAGAGGUGAGUGGAAUUCCCAGUGUAGAGGUGAAAUUCGUAGAUAUUGGGAAGAACACCGGUGGCGAAGGCGGCUCACUGGACCGUUUCUGACGCUCAUGCGCGACAGCGUGGGGAU